ensembl:snoRNA
GCGCUGCCUUUGAGCCCCCUCCGCCGCCGUGCGUGGCGCCUGCGCGUGGGCUGCAGCGCAGAGCAUGCGCUUGCGCAUAACUGGGGCCGUCUGGCUCCGUGGCGGCGGCGGCCCUUUACACCGCGAGCAACAUGG